rnacentral:rRNA from 1 species
UACGUAGGGUGCAAGCGUUAAUCGGAAUUACUGGGCGUAAAGCGUGCGCAGGCGGUUAUGUAAGACAGAUGUGAAAUCCCCGGGCUCAACCUGGGAACUGCAUUUGUGACUGCAUAGCUUGAGUGCGGCAGAGGGGGGAUGGAAUUCCGGCGUGUAGCAGUGAAAUGCGUAGAUAUGCGGAGGAACACCGAGUGGCGAAGGCAAUCCCCUGGGCCUGCACUGACGCUCAUGCACGAAAGCCGUGGGGAG